ensembl:lncRNA
AGCUCCUGAAAGCCAAAGGCUGCUGCCAGCAUUUCUCUAGCUCUGAGAAGUGGAGCUUGGCAUCAGCCUGUGAAAGUGGGCUGGCCUAAUUCUUGAAAUACAAAAUAAAGCUAGUUCAUAUUAACACAACUUCUUUGCCAGCAGUUUUUCCCCUGGGAGCGUGUGAUGUCUGACUGGUGGUCAUGGAUAAAUUCCCCCAUGAAGGCUGGCCUACUGCAGGGAUCAUUUCUGGGCUGAGCUUACCUGCCAAGGAGGGCAGCCGGACCGAAGGCCCCUGCUUGGCCUCUACCUGGAGAGGACAGGAACGUGGCUCAAUCUCUGAUUGGGUCUCUGGGGACGCGCCCCUCUCGUCCCCUCCCUGAGGCCAACCUCAGCAGUUCCUGGUGGAGAUCUUAAUGUCGACUCAGAGGCACAUUUCCCUCUGCUGCUUUACGGCUGAGUGAGCCUCUCAAAGGAAGUUUGCAGGUUUGUCUCCAUCUUUGUCCCAGAAUAAGGUAGACGAAUGGCCUGUGAGGGAGCCAUGUGCAGGCUGGGCCGGCUGGUGCCGCAGAUGCUGUUAGCUGGGUUCAAAGCUGGUGAGUUGACCGUCUAUAGUACUGAGCAGGCCUGUGAUAAAAAGUAUUCCCAGGGGAGAAAAAGAGAAUUCGCCACUGUAUUAGUUUCCUAAGGCUGCAGUAACAAAGUAUCACAACCUGGGUGGCAUAAAAAUGGCAGAAAUUUAUUGUCUCACAGUUCUGGAGGCUCCAAGUUGGAAAUCAAGGUGUUGGCAGGACGGUGCUCCCCCUGAAGCGUGUAGGGAAGGAGUCUGCCUUGCCUGUUUCUAGCUGCCGGUGGUUGCUGGCAUCCUUGUUCCUUGGCUCCCAGCUGCAGCGCUUCUGUCUCUGCCUCUGUCAUCACAUGGCAGAGUGUCCCUCCACCCCACCGUUGAGUCUGUGUCUGUUUUUUGGGACACCAGCCAUCCUGCUCCAGUAUGACCUCAUCUGAACUAGUUACAUCUGCAGUGACCUUAUUUCCAGGUCACGGUCUGAAGUACUGGGGUUAGGACUUCAACAUAGCUUACAUUUUUGGAUGGGCGCUGGGGUCACAGUUCAACCCCUAAAAGCGUCGUUCAAAAGAUAUCCAGGUGGAUACGUGCCCCUCUAGUUGCCGGUAGGCCCUGGGCCUGAUGGCAGAAGCACAGGCCUGGCUCAGGAGAGAUCACAUCCCAGCUUUUAUCAGCCACAAGACGCCAAACCUCUUCCUCUGCAAGAUGGGAUGUUACAAAAACUAAACAAGAUAAUAUCUGAAAAGUGCCCAGCAUGCUCCAGGUACUUAGCUGUACUAAGUGGCCCAGCUGUGGACGAAUGACCGCUUAGCUGUUGGCUACAAGCUCUGGUUUUCACAUGAGGACACGUCCAGCAGCCGGUGUUCAUAGAGAUGAUGCAACGAGAGAGGGACUUCGAAAUCUCCUACCCUCUCAUCAAACGAGUGGUUUUCUUUUGAUUCCUUUCCCCCUCCUUAGCACCUGGCUCCAUGGAGGAAGUUACAGUUAAAGGCUGAGUAGACUUUAUCGAGGCAGAGGGCUGGGGCAGGAACCUGGGAAGAGUCCUGGCUCGUUCCAGGCUGCAGGCUUAUCUGCAGAGGCCCCCAGCCCCGAUGCCGGUGUGGCCAGAGCAGAGAGGGAAGCGGCGGCUGGUUCAGCACCUCACAUGCCCCUUUGGGGAGUUUGGAGCUUGUUGAGUGAGAACAAAGAAGCUCUGGAAGGUUUUCAGUAGAGGAACAGAGGUGUGAGACGAGACUCACCCAUCAGGAACUAGAGUGGUCGCCAUGGUGAUCCCCGCAUGAGAUGGCAGUGGCCUUGACCACGGCAGUAGUGAGGGGGUGAGAGAUUCAGCAAGCAACACUGGCAGGACUUGGAGAAGCCGGGGCGGUGGGCAGUGAAAGCCGGGGUGAGUCUGGACGCCCUGCUCUGACCCCUGAGGGGCAGCGCCUCUGCUGGGAGAGGGACCCGUGGCUCGUAACCAGCCACCUGGUGGCACGACAGCCUCCAGCGAGGGUACCCGGCUGGGCGCUCCAGUGCGACCUGCACCCUGUCUGUCACUUGACAGGAUGGGCUGCAGUCUCGCGAGGGAGCCCAGUGCUCCUGGCGUCCGGGAGCCCCAGUCUUUUACCGCUGGCUGAUGACGGGGGAGGGAGUGUGCACUGCGCGACUUACCUUUCCUUGAGCGGCCUCCGCUACAAACACUUGUCAGGACGCUGACCUGGGCUCCCUCCGUAGUCACAUGAUAUGACACAGUGAUGUGUCAAUGUGGAUCAGAACUUUCCUCAGGUUCUUCAGCCAUUUGACAGUUUGAGUAAACAAUGACUUGUCAGUGCUAUUUAUUCACAUUCCUCUUUCUCAGCCCUGUUUUUGGGCCAGAACACUCUUUAUUUUUGUCCGUGUUACAUAAUGAGGGAACGGCAUUCUUAGUAACCCACUGUCACUCCUGUGUUAUCUUGCCUACAUGAAAAAAGGAAAUAUUUUUAGAGUGUGAAUUUCCCAAACGUCCUCUACUAUUUCUGGGGCUGAAGGCAUAACGUCAUGGCGGGAGGGUGGCAUGGGGAGAGGGCCCGGUUGUCUCCUGUUUGUCCGGGGCUGACCCUGGGCCUCAGGAGCUGGCUGGACAUCCUGUCUGCCCCAUCCUGCCCUGGCUAAGUGGCGGAGGCUCCUCUCUGCCCAGGGUUUUACGUGUUCAGCAGCGGAUUCAGGAGCCUAGGAAUAAUCUUAAUUGAUAUUCUUCAUUCCUAUUGUUUCAGGAUAUUCAAAAGAGUGGUCGGGGGAGGGGGGGAAUGAGCACAAGCAGUGAAUCCCUCUUCUUAAGCACACAAGUGACAGGCUCAUCCCCUAUGUGGGGGGUGCCUGUCAAACUGGGAAGCGAAAGUGCCUUGCAUAAGUUUGAAAGGCUCCUUCCUGGCCGGCCGUCUGGAGGCUUCCCUGAAAUGGGUGUGACGGGGCCAGUGAAGUCCCAACAGGAUGGGCUCGGCUGAGCCAAAGAACAUCUAUAAAAGCAAAUCUGGGGGCUGCCCUGGGGGCGCAGUGGUUAAGAAUCCGCCUGCCAAUGCAGGAGACCGGCGUUCGAGCCCUGGUCCGGUAAGAUACCACAUGCCAUGGGGCAGCUAAGCCCGUGCGCCACAGCUACUGAGCCUGUGCUCUAGAGCCUGAGAGCCACAACUACUGAGCCCACGAGCCACAACUACUGAAGCCCGUGCGCCUAGAGCCCAUGCUCUGCAACAAGAGAAGCCACUGCAAUGAGAACCCCUCGCACUGCAACGAAGAUUAGCCCCCGCUCGCCGCAACUAGAGAAGAGCCUGCACGCAGCAAUGAAGACCCAACACAGCC